CAGGAAGUUGGGAACUGGUGGAUUUGCUUUUGUUUAUCUUGUCACAGCAAUCAAGAACCCUUCUAAAUUCUACGCAGCUAAAUACCAGAGAACAAAAGAUACAGAGGAAAAAUUCAAUGCCAGGACAGAGGUAGCUCUUCUACACAAAUCUAUUGGGUGUCCUCACAUAGUUCAGUUCCAGGAUUUUUACGAAGGUGGAAGUGAAAGCAUCAUAGGAAUUUUAUCAAAUUAAUUGAACCAUUUAAAGCGUCAUUUUAG